GAAGAGUGGUGACCAUUUGCUUAAGUCAGCAAUGGAAAUAAAUGGAACUGGCAAGCGUUGUUUAGAGGAGAGGUGAGCAAGAAUCUUCCCAGUCCGACCAGGUUUACCUAUUUCAGCAGAGAAGAGAAAAUACAGUUAAAAGGUGUUUACAAGCCAAGUCAACCCUGUGAUUUGCUACUUGUGUUCAUUUUUUGCUUGAGAGGCACACACCUAUAGCAGACUUUAAGUCGGCAUUCCACAGCCAUGAAGAAAUUUCUUGUUUGUAAACCAAAGAGGAAGAAUUAUAAGCCAGACACUUACAUCACCUGACAGAUGUGUUUCUCAAUCACGACAGAACCUAAAUUGGAGGACUGUCUCGUCUAAGCACAGAUCAAACGGCCUACGAGCAGCCACACCAACGUAAAAAAAACACACCAAUGGCCUCUGCUCCCUUAUUCUUUUUCCCAGGGUCACCAACUUACACAACGAUGACUACUGUUUCUGGGGCUUAAGCAAUCAGUCUGCCUCACAACAUCCUACCCGAAGGGGCCCACUAAAAGAUUUUAUAGGAGAAUUUAUUCUCCACAAGAACUUUUCCAGAUUCUGUCAGCAAUGAAAGAUGUGUGUGUAUAAAAUAUGAAGUUAAUAAAGGUUGCAUUAUUUAAAGGGGAGAUCUCUUUCCUCAUAAAAUACUAAUUUCUGCAUUAACAAGCAUGCAAAAGUUGAGUAAAUUAAUCAUGUCCUUAAACAUAAGCCAACAGUCCCACCCUCUGCUUUGCCCUGUGCUGCACUACCUUACGUUCAAGAGACAUCAACUUGAUUUAUUCA